CUGGAUAGAGGGUCUGACUACGAAUCAGAACGUCACAGGUUCGAAUCCUGUACGCCGCA
rnacentral:tRNA from 1 species